UUAAGUUCAGCGGGUAUCCCUACCUGAUCCGAGGUCAACCAUAGAAGGGGGGUUCUGGCAGGCCACCGCCUAGCACCAGAGCGAGGAUUGUACUACGCUUGGAGCCAGACGCUGCCGCCACUGUCUUUAGGGCCGGCCGCGAGCGGGCGGGGCCCAACACAAGCAGAGCUUGAGGGUUGAAAUGACGCUCGAACAGGCAU
rnacentral:misc_RNA from 1 species